rnacentral:rRNA from 1 species
UACGUAGGUGGCAAGCGUUGUCCGGAUUUACUGGGCGUAAAGAGCGCGCAGGCGGUCGUCCAAGUCGCGUGUGAAAGCCCCCCGGCUCAACUGGGGAGGGUCACGCGAUACUGAUCGACUCGAAGGCAGGAGAGGGUAGUGGAAUUCCCGGUGUAGUGGUGAAAUGCGUAGAUAUCGGGAGGAACACCAGUGGCGAAGGCGACUACCUGGCCUGUUUCUUGACGCUG